rnacentral:rRNA from 1 species
GACAGAGGUGCCGAGCGUUAGGCGGAAUCACUGGGCUUAAAGCGUGUGUAGGCGGGUCGUUAAGUGUCUUGUGAACUCCCCCGGCUCCACCGGGGAAUGGCUGGGCAUACUGGCGAUCUUGAGCAGUCUAGGGGCAGAUGGAACAAGUGGUGGAGCGGUGAAAUGCGUAGAUAUCACUUGGAACGCCAAAGGUGAAAACAGUCUGCUGGGGACGUGCUGACGCUGAGACACGAAAGCCAGGGGAGCGAACGGG